rnacentral:rRNA from 1 species
CUAGCCCUAAACGAUGUAGACUAGACGUCGGCGGUGUAAUAACUGUCGGUGUCCAAGCUAACGCGAUAAGUCUACCGCCUGGGGACUACGGCCGCAAGGUUAAAACUCAAAGGAAUUGAC